UGAGGUGGCCAUGGAAACGGCCUGGCAGACUCCCAUCUCUCCUGGUGCCAUCUCCGGAGCGGAAAGUCGAGCGCCCCGCUGGCGACCAAGGCCGCACUGAGAGCCCUGGUUUGGUCAACAGUUGGGCUCCAAGGCCUUAAUUGAGGCUGUUCUUGCAAAGGAUGUGAUGAGAUAAGUAGAAAUGAACUCAGAGAAGAUGAAUUCAAAAUCCUCGAUGGGAGCAUCCAAGUACUUCCUGGUUUCUGGUUUACAAGGCACUUCAGAGGAUGCUGCACUGUCCGGGUGAGUCAGCUUCCUACUGUGGCUGCUGGUCACAGUCCAGGAACUCAUCUAGGCAUAGGUCAGUUUGGACGACCGUCCGAUAUAACAGGACAAUACCAUUUCAAUGCAAAUCAACUGCAAAGUUCAUGAAGUCAAAGAAAACAGUGAUGGAGAAUUUUACAUGCAAGGUCUUUGACCAAGGAGAUCAGAUAGAGCUUAUCAAUUAAGUGAAGAAAAUACAACGAGGACGAUGCUCAAAUAGGUUCUUCAAAAGGGAAUAAUUUGAAUAUCGAGGGACUGAAAGAGAUCCUUGGGGAAAUGGAUGAAGCCCUUAAGUAUUAAACAGACGCAGACUCUUAAUUAGGUGCUGUAAAGUAAAAUGUGAAGAGCGAGUUACUAUGUGAACAGAUCAUUUUGCUGGUAUAAUAAAUAAAUAUACCCACACCAAAAUCAACAUUUUAUUCUUUCUUCAAUCUGAAAAUUAGCACAUAACCUAUAUUUUGUAAUCUGUAUAGCUAAAAAUAGCUUGUUUUGAAUGCCUCAUUUGUACAAUAAAAAUCUUG